UUUACUCCUACUAUCCCAUCUUUUACAGUUCCAUUAUUACCUGGAAAGUGAGAUUUUCUUCAACUAUGAGCUCGGGAACAUUAUUAAAAAAAAUUAAUUUCUUGAAUGUCAUUUGUAGAACUUUUUUUGAUGCAGUGACUUCUCCUUAACAAUAAGUUCCUUCAAGUAUUAGUAGUGUAAAUUAGAUAACAUUUACUCCUACUAUCCCAUCUUAUAACAGUUCCAUUAUUACCUGGAAAGCAAGACGUUUUCUUCAACUCUGAGUCUCGGGAACAUUAUUAAAAAAAAAAAUUAAGUUCUUG
rnacentral:lncRNA from 1 species